rnacentral:rRNA from 1 species
CCUAAUACAUGCAAGUCGAGCGCAGGAAACUGACGGAACUCUUCGGAGGGAAGGCAGGGGAAUGAGCGGCGGACGGGUGAGUAACACGUAAGGAACCUGCCUCAAGGAUUGGGAUAACUCCGAGAAAUCGGAGCUAAUACCGGAUAGUUCAUCGGACCGCAUGGUCCGUUGAUGAAAGGCGCUCCGGCGUCACCUUGAGAUGGCCUUGCGGUGCAUUAGCUAGUUGGUGGGGUAACGGCCCACCAAGGCGACGAUGCAUAGCCGACCUGAGAGGGUGAUCGGCCACACUGGGACUGAGACACGGCCCAGACUCCUACGGGAGGCAGCAGUAGGGAAUCUUCCACAAUGGACGAAAGUCUGAUGGAGCAACGCCGCGUGAGUGAUGAAGGUUUUCGGAUCGUAAAACUCUGUUGUAAGGGAAGAACACGUACGAGAGGGAAUGCUCGUACCUUGACGGUACCUUACGAGAAAGCCACGGCUAACUACGUGCCAACAGCC